rnacentral:lncRNA from 10 species
AGCCUGGGUGACAGAGCAAGACCCUGUCUCUUAAAAUUAUUUAAAAAAAAAAAAAGGGACCCCUGCCUUUCGGGGUCCAAUUACUAUAAAGAACCUCAAGAUUUUCGAUAUCAACUGAAAAAAAUGAAGGAAAAAUAAAUCAUUGCAGUAUACGUUCUUUUUAUUUGUAUUGAAAUCGUUAACAUGUUCUGUUGUUGAUCUUUGGAGGGUACAUCAUCCAGUUCCUAUCCAAAGGAACAAUCACAGCCAUGGUUUUUC